AUACAGAGGGUGCAAACGUUGUUCGGAAUUACUGGGCAUAAAGCGUGCGUAGGCGGCAUCGUAAGUGUGAAGUGAAAUCCCACGGCUCACCCGUGGAACUGCUUUGCAUACUGCGGUGCUCGAGGACGGUAGGGGAGAGCGGAACUCCUGGUGGAGCGGUGAAAUGCGUAGAUAUCAGGGGGAACACCGAUGGCGAAGGCAGCUCUCUGGUCCGUUUCUGACGCUGAGGUACGAAAGCUAGGGUAGCGAACGGGAUUAGAUACCCCAGUAGUCC
rnacentral:rRNA from 1 species